UACGGGGGGGGCAAGCGUUGUUCGGAAUUACUGGGCGUAAAGGCUCGUAGGCGGCCAACUAAGUCAGACGUGAAAUCCCGGCUUAACCUGGGAACUGCAUUGGUGACUGCAGAGCUAGAGUGUGUCAGAGGGAGGUGGAAUUCCGCGUGUAGCAGUGAAAUGCGUAGAGAUGCGGAGGAACACCGAUGGCGAAGGCAGCCUCCUGGGAUAACACUGACGCUCAGGCACGAA
rnacentral:rRNA from 1 species